CUGUUCCCUGAGGAUUUCAGGUUGUUCCCUUGCAAUCUUCCCCACACAGCUCGGUGUCUGUGUAUCGAGCGAAAGAAGCCUGGAGAAAAUGUGUUUGCAGCCCUGCAUUGAGAGCAGAUGAAUAGCAUGAAAGAAUAGAGCAGGAACCAGUGAACCUGAGGGACUUCAGUGAAACUGAACGUGGGCACCAGAUCUGUGAGGAUGGCUGGAAAUGGUCCGUGGAGAAUUCCAAGGCAGGCAGCUUUGAACUGGGAAUGAAAUAAAUGGGAAACCAAGUGUAAGUGGCUGCCAGUGGAGCUGUGAUAAGGCAAUGUGCAAACACUUCCUCUGAUAGC